rnacentral:rRNA from 1 species
UACGUAGGGGGCUAGCGUUGUCCGGAAUCAUUGGGCGUAAAGCGCGCGUAGGCGGCCCGGUAAGUCCGCUGUAAAAGUCAAAGGCUCAACCUUUGAAUGUCAGUGGAUACUGCCGGGCUAGAGUCCGGAAGAGGCGAGUGGAACUCCUGGUGUAGCGGUGGAAUGCGCAGAUAUCAGGAAGAACACCGGUGGCGAAGGCGGGUCUCUGGGCAAUAACUGACGCUGAGGAGCGAAAGCGUGGGGAGCGAACAGG